rnacentral:rRNA from 1 species
GAGUUUGAUCCUGGCUCAGGAUGAACGCUAGCUACAGGCUUAACACAUGCAAGUCGAGGGGAAACGACAUCGAAAGCUUGCUUUUGAUGGGCGUCGACCGGCGCACGGGUGAGUAACGCGUAUCCAACCUGCCCAUCACUUGGGGAUAACCUUGCGAAAGUAAGACUAAUACCCAAUGACGUCUCUAGAAGACAUCUGAAGGAGAUUAAAGAUUUAUCGGUGAUGGAUGGGGAUGCGUCUGAUUAGCUUGUUGGCGGGGUAACGGCCCACCAAGGCUACGAUCAGUAGGGGUUCUGAGAGGAAGGUCCCCCACAUUGGAACUGAGACACGGUCCAAACUCCUACGGGAGGCAGCAGUGAGGAAUAUUGGUCAAUGGACGAGAGUCUGAACCAGCCAAGUAGCGUGCAGGAUGACGGCCCUAUGGGUUGUAAACUGCUUUUAUAAGGGAAUAAAGUGAGUCUCGUGAGACUUUUUGCAUGUACCUUAUGAAUAAGGACCGGCUAAUUCCGUGCCAGCAGCCGCGGUAAUACGGAAGGUCCGGGCGUUAUCCGGAUUUAUUGGGUUUAAAGGGAGUGUAGGCCGGAGAUUAAGCGUGUUGUGAAAUGUAGACGCUCAACGUCUGCACUGCAGCGCGAACUGGUUUCCUUGAGUACGCACAAAGUGGGCGGAAUUCGUGGUGUAGCGGUGAAAUGCUUAGAUAUCACGA